GACGAACGCUGGCGGCGUGCUUAACACAUGCAAGUCGAACGGAAAGGCCCUGCUCUUGUGGGGUUCUCGUGUGGCGAACGCGUGAGUAACACGCGAGUAUCCCGCCCUUGACUUUGGGAUAACACUACGAAACUGGGGCUAUUAUCGGAUAGGAGCUCUUGCUGCACGGUGGUGGUUGGAAAGUUUCGGCGUUUGUGGCUCGUCUCGCGGCUUAUCCGCUUGUUGGUGGGGUAGUGGCUUUCCAAGGUUUUGACGGGUAGCCGGCCUGAGAGCGUGACCGGGGACAUGGGGACUGAGAGACGGACCAGACUCGUACGGGAGGCAGCAGUGGGGAAUAUUACAGAGUGAGCGGACGCCUGAUGCAGCGGCGCCGCGUGCGGGAUGACGUCCUUCGGGUUGUGAACCGCUUUCGCCUGUGACGAAGCGUGAGUGACGGUAAUGAGUAAAGAAGCACCGGCUAACUACGUG
rnacentral:rRNA from 1 species